rnacentral:rRNA from 1 species
UACGAAGGGGGCUAGCGUUGUUCGGAAUCACUGGGCGUAAAGCGCACGCAGGCGGAUUGAUAAGUCAGGGGUGAAAUCCCGGAGCUCAACUUCGGAAUUGCCUUUGAUACUGUCUGUCUUGAGUCCGGGAGAGGUGAGUGGAAUUCCUAGUGUAGAGGUGAAAUUCGUAGAUAUUAGGAAGAACACCGGUGGCGAAGGCGGCUAACUGGCCCAACAUUGACGGCUGAGACCCGAAAGCAUGGGGAUCAAACAGG